rnacentral:rRNA from 1 species
AACGAACGCUGGCGGCAGGCUUAACACAUGCAAGUCGAACGCAUCGCAAGAUGAGUGGCAGACGGGUGAGUAACGCGUGGGAACAUACCCUUUUCUACGGCAUAUCUCUGGGCAACUGGACUUAAUACCGUAUACGCCCUACGGGGGAAAGAUCGAUCGGGGAAGGAUUGGCCGGCGUUGGAUUAGCUAGUUGGUGGGGUAAAGGCCUACCAAGGCGACGAUCCAUAGCUGUUCUGGGAGGAUGGUCAGGCACAUUGGGACUGAGACACGGCCCAAACUCCUACGGGAGGCAGCAGUGGGAAAUAUUGGACAAUGGGCGCAAGCCUGAUCCAGCCAUGCCGCGUGAGUGAUGAAGGCCUUAGGGUUGUAAAGCUCUUUCACCGAUGAAGAUAAUGACGGUAGUCGGAGAAGAAGCCCCGGCUAACUUCGUGCCAGCCGCCGCGGUAACAC